rnacentral:rRNA from 1 species
CAGCAGCCGCGGGAAUACGGAGGGUGCAAGCGUUAAUCGGAAUUACUGGGCGUAAAGCGUGCGUAGGCGGUUCGUUAAGUCUGUUGUGAAAGCCCCGGGCUCAACCUGGGAAUGGCAAUGGAUACUGGCGAGCUAGAGUGUGUCAGAGGAUGGUGGAAUUCCCGGUGUAGCGGUGAAAUGCGUAGAGAUCGGGAGGAACAUCAGUGGCGAAGGCGGCCAUCUGGGACAACACUGACGCUGAGGCACGAAAGCGUGGGGAGCAAACAGGAUUAGAUACCCGUGUAGUCCCUGUCUCUUAUAC